rnacentral:rRNA from 1 species
AGAGUUUGAUCCUGGCUCAGAUUGAACGCUGGCGGCAUGCCUUACACAUGCAAGUCGAACGGUAACAGGUCUUCGGAUGCUGACGAGUGGCGAACGGGUGAGUAAUACAUCGGAACGUGCCCGAGAGUGGGGGAUAACGAGGCGAAAGCUUUGCUAAUACCGCAUACGAUCUCAGGAUGAAAGCAGGGGACCGCAAGGCCUUGCGCUCACGGAGCGGCCGAUGGCAGAUUAGGUAGUUGGUGGGAUAAAAGCUUACCAAGCCGACGAUCUGUAGCUGGUCUGAGAGGACGACCAGCCACACUGGGACUGAGACACGGCCCAGACUCCUACGGGAGGCAGCAGUGGGGAAUUUUGGACAAUGGGCGCAAGCCUGAUCCAGCCAUGCCGCGUGCAGGAUGAAGGCCUUCGGGUUGUAAACUGCUUUUGUACGGAACGAAAAGACUCUUUCUAAUAAAGGGGGUCCAUGACGGUACCGUAAGAAUAAGCACCGGCUAACUACGUGCCAGCAGCCGCGGUAAUACGUAGGGUGCGAGCGUUAAUCGGAAUUACUGGGCGUAAAGCGUGCGCAGGCGGUUAUAUAAGACAGAUGUGAAAUCCCCGGGCUCAACCUGGGAACUGCAUUUGUGACUGUAUAGCUAGAGUACGGUAGAGGGGGAUGGAAUUCCGCGUGUAGCAGUGAAAUGCGUAGAUAUGCGGAGGAACACCGAUGGCGAAGGCAAUCCCCUGGACCUGUACUGACGCUCAUGCACGNNNGCGUNNNGAGCAAACAGGAUUAGAUACCCUGGUAGUCCACGC